GACGAACGCUGGCGGCGUGCUUAACACAUGCAAGUCGAACGGAAAGGCCUCUUUCGGGGGGUACUCGAGUGGCGAACGGGUUAGUAACACGUGAGUAACCUGCCCUUUACUUUGGGAUAACUUCAGGAAACUGGGUCUAAUACCGUAUAGGAGCUCCUGCUGCAUGGUGUGUGUUGGAAAGUUUCGGCGGUUGGGGAUGGACUCGCGGCUUAUCAGCUUGUUGGUGGGGUAGUGGCUUACCAAGGCUUUGACGGGUAGCCGGCCUGAGAGGGUGACCGGCCACGUUGGGACUGAGAUACGGCCCAGACUCCUACGGGAGGCAGCAGUGGGGAAUAUUGCACAAUGGGUGGAAGCCUGAUGCAGCAACGCCGUGUGCGGGAUGACGGCCUUCGGGUUGUAAACCGCUUUCGCUCAUGACGAAGCUUUGUGUGACGGUAGUGGGUAAAGAAGCACCGGCUAACUACGUG
rnacentral:rRNA from 1 species